UACGUAGGGUGCAAGCGUUAAUCGGAAUUACUGGGCGUAAAGCGUGCGCAGGCGGUUUGGUAAGUCAGAUGUGAAAUCCCCGGGCUCAACCUGGGAAUGGCAUUUGAGACUGUCAGGCUAGAGUGUGUCAGAGGGGGGUGGAAUUCCACGUGUAGCAGUGAAAUGCGUAGAGAUGUGGAGGAACACCGAUGGCGAAGGCAGCCCCCUGGGAUAUCACUGACGCUCAUGCACGAAAGCGUGGGGAGCAAACAGG
rnacentral:rRNA from 1 species